GUUUCCAUGAUGAAAAUAAUACGACCGAAAAGCUAAUUUCUUUUUUUUCUCGUUUGGCGCAGACCUAUCAGUCCAUUUCAGCCAUGUCUUGUUUUGCGUUUGGUUGUCAAAUUAAAUACCAAAGAAGAAUCGGCGCGAAAAUUUGAUAAGACUGAUUUUCAGUGGCGGGAUUGUCGGACUAUACCGUUUAAGUUUGUUUUGAUUCAAACAUUCAGCUAUUCGGUUCGCGAUAUUUAGUUUCAAACAUUAACUUUAAUUUCCUUUAUAAAUUCGGCAAUCAGUAUUAUUUUUUCGGUUUUAUUUUCUGCCAAAAUAGGUGUAAUAUCUUGGCAGCUCACCUGUUUCUGCUAGAAUGACGUGGUUUGGUGUUGAUUUCAAGUAUCUCAUUGAAGUCCUUAUGUAUAGAUGCUGUACCGUUUCAAGCAUUGCAAAGGAGGUUUUUGAUGUUCCUGCUGAUAUAGUUAAUCCAUAAUCUAAAUGUUGUUGUACUAUUGUUUUAGCUUUUCUCAGGGCUGUUUCGGGGUGGGCUCCACUAUGUUUUCUAGUUAUCAUUUUUAGUAUAUUUAUUUUACGUUUGGCUUUUUUUUACACACUGUUCUACAUGUUUAUUGUAAUUUAAUCUGUGGUCUAUAAUCACUCCGACAAAUUUAUGAAAGGGGUUUAUUUCUAUUGGUGUAUUAUGUAUUAUGAUAUUGGUUGUUGGUGAAAUUUGUUUGCGAAAAUUACUGUUGCGCAUUUAUCCGGGUUUAUUAUCAUUCCUAAAUUAAUAAAGAGUUCAUUUUUUCUUCUGCCUCUGAUAAUGUUCUUGCUAUCACCACUACUGUAAAGUCAUCUACGUAUUGGAAGAAGAUUUUAUCUUCACCUGCUAAUUGAUGUAUUUUCAUGGUAUAAAUAUUAAAUAAAAUCGGCGAUAAGGGGCAACCUUGUGGGAGUCCUUUGUUAGUCAUUCUUUUUA